GAUGAAGAACGUAGCGAAAUGCGAUAAGUAAUGUGAAUUGCAGAAUUCAGUGAAUCAUCGAAUCUUUGAACGCACAUUGCGCCCGCCAGUAUUCUGGCGGGCAUGCCUGUUCGAGCGUCAUUUCAACCAUCAAGCCCCCGGCUUGUGUUGGGGACCUGCGGCUGCCGCUGGCCCUGAAAAGCAGUGGCGGGCUCGCUGUCACACCGAGCGUAGUAGCAUACAUCUCGCUCUGGGCGUGCUGCGGGUUCCGGCCGUUAAACCACCUUCAUAACCCAAGGUUGACCUCGGAUCAGGUAGGAAGACCCGCUGAACUUAAGCAUAUCAAUAAGCGGAGGA
rnacentral:misc_RNA from 1 species